rnacentral:rRNA from 1 species
UACGUAGGGAGCGAGCGUUGUCCGGAAUUAUUGGGCGUAAAGGGCUCGUAGGCGGUUUGUCACGUCGGGAGUGAAAACUCGGGGCUUAACCCCGAGCCUGCUUCCGAUACGGGCAGACUAGAGGUAUGCAGGGGAGAACGGAAUUCCUGGUGUAGCGGUGAAAUGCGCAGAUAUCAGGAGGAACACCGGUGGCGAAGGCGGUUCUCUGGGCAUUACCUGACGCUGAGGAGCGAAAGCCAGGGGAGCAAACGGG